GACGAACGCUGGCGGCGUGCUUAACACAUGCAAGUCGAACGGUAAGGCCCUUCGGGGUACACGAGUGGCGAACGGGUGAGUAACACGUGGGUGAUCUGCUCUGCACUUCGGGAUAAGCCUGGGAAACUGGGUUGAAUACAGGAUAGGACUCCUGGCUUCAUGGUUGGGGGUGGAAAGCUUUUGCGGUGUGGGAUGGGCCCGCGGCCUAUGAGCGUGUUGGUGGGGUAAUGGGCUACCAAGGCGACGACGGGUAGCCGGCCUGAGAGGGUGGCCGGUCACACUGGGACGGAGAUACGGCCCAGACUCCUACGGGAGGCAGCAGUGGGGAAUAUUGCACAAUGGGCGCAAGCCUGAUGCAGCGACGCCGCGUGAGGGAUGACGGCCUUCGGGUUGUAAACCUCUUUCAGCUAUGACGAAGCGCAAGUGACGGUAGUAGCAGAAGAAGGACCGGCCAACUACGUGCCAGCAGCCGCCGUAA
rnacentral:rRNA from 1 species